AUUAGGUUAUAUAAAGGAAAGUAUAAGGCAAAAAAAGGCUUUGUGACACCAGAUUGUGGGUAGCCUCAAAUGGCAAGGUUUGGUGAUGGGUUGGGUAUGCGAAGUGAGAGUAAAGAUUGGUGGAUGAUACUUGGUUUGCAGGCCUAGGUAGAAUGGUGGUGCCCUUGACAGUGAUAGAAAAGUUUGGAAGUAGAGAGGAUUUGGGGGGAAAUAAUGACUUCUGUUUUGAACAUGUUGAGUUUGAGAGACCUAUGGAACAUACAAUUUAAACUAUCAAAGAGGCAGUUGGAAAUGUAUGAGUGGCAGAGAUGCACAGAUUUGGGAAUCAAUGAAUAGGGAAUAUAAGUACACCGAUGGGAGGUGAGAUCAUAAAAUCAGAUAGUAUACUACAAAAAAGAGAAGAAGACUCAAUAUAUAAUUAGAGAGAGUGACAUGUAUGAAGAACCAGCAAAAGAGACUGAGAAGCAGUAGGACAGACUGGUGGAGAGAGCAGUAUCAUGAAAACCUAGAGAGGAAAGAUUAAUCAGAAAGUGAUGGAGAUUACACAUGUCAAAUACUACUGAAAGGACAAAGAAGAUUAAGACUGAGAAAAUGCCACUAAAUUUGUUGAUUAAGAAAACAUUGUUAACUUUGGAAAGUGCAAUUUCAAAUGAGUAAUGAAGUCAGAAGCCAGCUUACUGAGGACUUAGAAAAUGAAUGGGAAGAGAGGAAGCAGGCAUAGAUUGUAAAUAGCUUACUCAAGGAAUUUAGUCACAAAAUGGAGAAAAGAGAUAAAGGAAGAGAUAGCUAGUGUGAAUGGUUGGAUCAAAUGAAGGUUUGUUUCUGGAUGGGUUAGAAUUAAGAUUAUAGUUUAAGUAGUGAUACCCUUCUAACCAAGCACCUAAUAUGGAAUCAUUGGAAGUUAGGGGGGGGGGAAUAGAGAGGGAAGAAGCCACAGUCUCUAUACAGGUUUCCUCCCACAUCCCUUCCUUUGACAGAGAAGAACCUUGUGAGUUCAAAGGUUCUAAGAAAUUUUUGACUUCUUGGACUUCUCAUUGGCCUCCUAGCAUCCUCUGAAAAACAGCUGAUGGCAGUGUCUGCAUUGGGAAGUUGAGGACAGACUGGACUCUGAAGCAAAUUCAAGGAUCUGAAAGGAGCCCAUCAGAAAAGAUAAACCAUAUCUACUUAAAGGGAACAUCUUGACUCCAACAAAAGGACUUUCACAACUGAGAUAUGAGUUUGCCACAUAUGCUCCAAGUUUGAGCCUACUUUACCCUGAUCUCUAUAUAUUGGUGGGAGAGUGCCACAAAUUUGCAGAUUUUAAAAAUCAGUUUUUCUUACUUAGGUAGUGCAGUGCUUAGAGCCCUUGACUUUGAAUCAGGAAGAUCUGAAUUCAAAUUUAAUCUGCUAGAUACUGGCUUCAUGACUCUGGCAAGUCACUUAGCCUAUGUCUCAAUUUUAUCAUCUGUAAAAAGGGGAUGAAAAUAAUAGCACCUACCUCCCAGGAUAAAAUAUUUGUAAAAUGAUUUGCAAAUCUCAAAGAACAACAUGAUAGCUACCAUUGCUGUUAUUAUACUGCCUUGGAAAACAUAACUCAGGAUUAUUAAUUUGGGGUAUAUGAAUUUGUUCUUUAAAUAUUGCAAUAACUGAGGGCAGCUGGGUAGCUCAGUAGAUUGAGAGCCAGGCCUAGAGACAGGAGGUCCUGGGUUCAAAUGUGACCUUAGACACUUCCCAGCUGUGUGACCCUGGGCAAGUCACUUGACCCCUAUUGCCUAGCCCUUACCACUCUUCUGCCUUGGAACCAACACACAGUAUUGAUUCUAAGAUGGAAGGUAAGGGUUUAAAAAAAAUUUCAAUAAUUAUUUUAUUAUAAUUGGUUUAAUAAUAAUAGCUAGCAUUUAUAUAGUGCUUUUAGGUUUACAAAGCACUUUACAUGUAUUUUAUAUAUACAACUGCUAAUUAUUAUAACUGGUUUCCUUUGCUAUUCUAUAUAUGUUACUUUAUGCGUUUAAAACAUUACUCUGAGUAAAGGUCCAUAAGUUUCAUUAACAGAGGUCCACGACAAAAAGAGUUUAAGAACUCUUGACCUAAGUAAGAGCUAAUUAAAACUGGCUAAUUGAUAAAGAAUGAUAAAUAUCGGAGUGUGGAAGCAGAUGAAGCCUCCCCUUGCUCCAUCUUUCAAAAAAUUUAAGAAAGCAUUAAAAAAUUAUCCCGUUUGAUGUCUUUAAUCUGAUCUGAAAGAGAACGCUCUAGUUCAGGCAAUCAGUAGGGACCACUCUAGGCAAGGAGGACUCCUCAUCUCUACGGUUUACUCCACUGUUAUAUUGUAUAGCGGAAAGGAGAGUCUGGACCGCACUUCCCAGUCUGGGCCCGUUAUCGUGGGGCGGAACUUCCGCCCAGGAUGGUCUGGCUCCGUUGUAGACAUUUGGCCUGCCCCAUUGUGGAGGGGUGAGUCCCGGGCCGGCCCCCGGGGGCGGGGAAGACCGAAGGAGGAGCAGGAUACAUUCCUUCUCCCACCAUCCUCCAUUUCCACCUUGUUCAUCAGACAUCCUGAGUUACUUAGGUACUUGGAGCUGAGGGAAAACCACUGAGUCCCAGUUGAAAAGCCUGCGAGUGUGAACUCGGGCUCUAGCAGACAGAGCACGCGUGUCUUCCGUGACAAACCGCCUCACCUUUGGGCUUUGAGGGGCGGAGCCAGUUGUCAGGACACCACUUGAGGAAAGGGGCAAAGGCCAUCAUUGCUAUAGGUUCGAGAGGCUCCCUGGAAUCCAGAGUGACUCAGUGAUGGGAAGAGAAGAGAAUGAGGAGGAGGAAAAAGAAAAAGAGUAGUUUGUGAGGGCCAUUCAACAAACAUGGAUAAAGAGCUGGAUGGGACCUCAGAAGCUGAGUUCUAGAGAUUUCAGUUGAAUGAGCCAACUGGGACCUUUGUCUCCAAACCCAGGGCUCUUCCACUAUGCUACUAAUCACAUCAGAUGCAGUAGUUUAAUAGAGGAAGAAUUUGGUUUUGAGUUUGAGUUGCUUAUGGAACAUCCAGGUGAAUCAUUAGAAUAAAGAGCUUGAAGAUGCUUUAGUCUAGUGUCUUCAUUUUAUAGAGGAAGAAACAAGCCCAGAGAGGUUGAUAGAGAUUUUUAGUUAGCCUUCCCAUACUUUUUUAAUUGGUAUGAUUCGUGUCCAUGUCUUUUCCUAAUUUCUCUCUAGGGGAUAUGCCCAGGGCACUGGAGGACUCUUUGGUUCUUGAAAUAGUUUUUGUAUACCAGGGAAGCAAUUGAGCUGUCUUAUCUAUCACAGUAAAGGAGCUACCCAUAUUCUUUUUCUUUUUUCUUGCGUAUAUUUUUCAGUGAUGCAUGUUCUUGAAAUCUUACAACUCAUUUCUCAUAUGAAAGUUGUUAAGACAUUGCAACUUACAUCUCCUGCAUAUCUUUUCAUUCCUUUUUGGAGGUUGUGAGAUUUAAAAUGGUUGAGGUCUUAAACUGUAGUGAGUUAAAAUGGUGGAAGAUAUAAAUUGUGAUAGAUAUGAGAGAGGGUGAGUAAAUUUGACCGCAGAAAAUAUGUUUCACUACAGUGUCUUAUUUUAAAUCAAAUAUAAGGUGGUCACCAGGGAAUAUAUUCCCAAUUAUGAAUAUGCCCAAGUCAACUGGGUUUUAUAGAGAAUUUUAAUUAAUAAUACAAUGAGUAAUCAAAGAAAGAGAGAGAGAGUAAGAAAGGAAUAAGUAUGAAGGGCCUCAAGCCAAUAUGGCCUAGACCUGAGUCUUAAGAGAGAAAAUCAGUCAGUUUUUUAACACUCACCACAAGAUCUGUCUAAGCAAGGAUUCUAGUGACACCAGGCCAGCAUCAUAUCAGCUGCUUUCACAAGCUCCCUCCUCCAUCUGAAUGUUUCAGAAUCAGUCUUCCUCAAAAUGAGUCCUCCUCAAUCUGAAUGUUUCAGAAUGAGUUCUCCUCAAUCUGAAUGUUUCAGAAUUCUCCUAGCUCUUCUCUGAGCUGUUAUUUUUAAGGGCAAAAUCUCCUAUGUCACCUCCCCUAAGUUCUUCCAUCUACCAAUCACUGUAGAUGUUUCCCAAAAGACAACCCAUUUUGAAUUCACAGCUGAGUAGAUUAAUCUCUUUAGUAAGUCAGAAAAAAAUGCUGCUGUGUCGACUAAUUUCAUUAAGAGAAAACCUCUGAGUAAGUUUUCACCUUUUAGGUCUAAGUAGUUUACAAGUUGCCCCACCUUUAUAGGCACUUUGCAUCCCAUUGUAUCAAUUCCAAAAAUAGGCAUGGCUCAAAGAACCCCUUUCCUUUAUAAGUAUGGUUUUCAAGUACUUUCAUUGUUUAGCAAGGAGUUUUCUGCCGUAAAGCAUUCUUAAGUAUGGGUGGAAUAGAGGUCCUCCCAUAGCAAGGAGUUUUCUCCCCUAAAGCAAUCCCAAGUAGGGAUGGGGUAGAGAUCCUCCCAUAGCAAGGAGUUUUCACAUUUAAGUAGAGUUCUCACUAUCUGGUAGGGAAUUAUUUCAAGUAGGGAAUUGGAGGAUUACUCAAUGUGGAGUAAAAUUUUUAACAUUCAUAAGUCUGUGAAAUUUUAAGGUUUACAAGGUUGACUCCAAUUUUGAUUUUUCAGAAAUCAAGAUGUUCUAUGAUUCAGAGCUAUAUAACAUUAGGAAACUCUAGCUCAAAAAUGGUCUUUUGGAGAAGGGAAUAGCUUGGGAUCAUUGAAAACACUGAUUUAAAUUAAACCUAGCUGAUGUCUCCUGUAAAAAUGGAGAUUUUGAACCCUAGACUUCAAUCCCCAGAAGUCCUUGGUAUUUCCCAGAAGCCCCUAUAAUUUCACCUGAGUCUCCAUGUUGGUGAGAUCACAAUUGGUAUUGAACUGGCAGUAUCGCCUCUCACGGGCUCUUCUCUUCUCUGCCAUUGCAAUGAUGUAGCAAGUAUAGUGGUAAGCUAAGCGCGGGGAUUUUGAAUGGGCUAAUCAGCCAUGGGCAUGUGGUUUUAAUUUUGUAUCCUUGAUUUCUAAUAAUCCUUAAUAAACCUCAUAAAUAUAAUAUUUUUAUUACUAUAGAUACUAAUUUAAUUUGUACAGUUUUUGGCAACCACAAGAUCGGACAAGAACUUCUCAAAUUUUUUUUUAAGAUAGCCUAGUUAUUUUUUUUAAAGCCACGUUUCUUCUGCCAAGGCUGUCUUGAUUCAGCUUGCUCCUGCUGCCUGUUCCUGUCUCCAUCCAUCCAUGCCUGCCUCCAGCCAUCUGCUCCGGACCUGCUUGACCCAGAUCACUCUCCCACCCUGGCCGCAGACCCAGCAACUCUACUUCUCUGAGCCAGGUUGCCCCAGGCCAGCCCCAGGACCCAGGCUGCUGGUAGCUCCCCCUGUGUCUUCAGGAUCACAAACCAACUGGUAAAAACUGGGUUGUUCUUUCCUUAGGCAACAAUUAGCCUCCACAUGGCAGGGGACCUCAGUGGUGGGGAACGAGGAGAAGGAAGAGACUUUUCCAAACAGGAAGUUGAUUACUAAUAUGGCAUAUUCUAUGAGAGAGCAGUGCAUUGUGUAUUUCAAAGGAUAUUUUUUGAGUGCACUGAUCCUUUUACUUAUUUUACCUGAGAUUCAGGGGAGAAAUUCAUCUCCCUGCAACUCUUUGCCAUUUGGACCUGCCCAAUUUGAGAUUCCUAAAACCCAUGUUCUUCCUCAAUAUGGGGAAUUCCACAGUACUGACAAAAGGAAUCUCAAUGGAUAAAAAAAUGAACUUUAAAAGAGACUGGAGGUUAUAUUUUUAAGGCUUUUCAGACGCCAAUGUUUUAUAAACACCUCUGUAUUUUAUUGCAUUUUGCUGAUUGUUUUGUUUAAGAUUUAAUUUUGUUGGUUUUAAGUUCAUAUGUUAAUGUAUUCAAUACUUUUCUGUUACACUGAAUCAUUUUAAUAUACUGGGUUUUAACUACUGUUAUAUUCUGUUGCUUUUCCCCUAUAACUAUACUGAACAAAUAUUAUUGAAUAAGCCCAUAUAUGAAAACAGCCUUUUUUUCUAUUUUGACUUUGUAAAUUGUCACAUAGAGGAUGGAUGGACUUCAUCAAAAACUGGUUACAAUUGCAUAACAACCUUUGGAAAAUUUAAUGAGCUAAAUAUCUCAAAUUGAUUUUAAGGGGACGUUAGACAUGAUUUUUAGAUUUUUUUCAACAACUUUGAUCAUUUUGCCUGCCUCUAACAGGAGGUAAGGUCCAUUUUAGUAACUGAAGUGAAAUACAAUUAUAAUCCUCACCUCCCAUAUUUAUAAAAAUGUGAAUGGAUGGGACAUCACAGUCUCAUACCAAAGGAGCUGGGAAGUUAAUCCCAAGGCAUGGUACCCUUGGAUGUCUCCCAAAAGGGAGCAUCUCUCAUUUAUAACUCUUCAGCUCAUUUUACUUCCACCAGAACAAUCUAGAUUUCUUGAUGAUGUUCUAGAUCCAAAUAAGUUUUACAUUAUUUAUAAAUGUAUUUGCCAAGGUUGAAACAUUGCUACACUUGAAAAACUUGUGACAAGUACCCAUUUUCUUUAAAUGUCAUACAGCAACUUAUGUGAAAUAUGAUAAUAGGUUUGUUUGCUAUUGUAAUUAACUGGGCUAUUGUGAAUUUUGGGGAUUUUGGUACCUUUUGAAUGUGCAUUACUUGUUGUACUACUGUUCUUUAUAAGAAACUGUAACUUUGUGAAAAUCAUUUGCUUGUACUCACAGUGGAUCAUGUCCAGGUCUGAAGAGGAAAUGGAUCUCAUUUUUGGACAAGAGAAGACAAAAAGAGUCAUUGCACAGUGCCACAGAAUCAUAAAACUAAACUGCAUAGUGCCAAUUGAGCACGUGUUCAAAGAGACCAACCGAUCCCAAUGGAGUUGAUGAAAAAUUUUGAGCCAUGUCAAGAGGACUUGAGCAUGUUUGGGGUUUGAAGUUGUGGCUGUUUAACAAGUCUUAAAGGCAAGUCUUCCUUUGUCCACAUUCUACCAAGUAUCUCAAAUUUGGCUCCUACCUGGCUCCUAAAAAUUUAGUCCCUUUUCUGUCUUUCAUAAUGUGACAACUUUCUGUAGUCCUGGCUACUGAUUGGUUAAAUGCAUCAUUGCUUAAAUCAUUUUAAUUGGGCCCUGAUUCAAGGACCUGUUAUAGAUUUAUUUUUCCUUUACUUAGAAUUUUUACACAUAAGAUUUUGAUAGUCUAUAUUUCAUCCAGAAAUUAUUUUUUACUUGGAUUUUUUUUGAUGUUGAUUUCUCUUGCCAAUUGAUUCAUAUACUUCAUAACUCAGCCAUGCAUCCCUAAGUGAUUUCUGUGUUUUUCAAUCACCCUCUUCAGGGGGGAAUGUAUAUAUAUUAUUAUUAUUUUAAUUUGCAAAGUUUAAAUUCCUUUUGAGAGUAAUUUUAGGUUAAGAAACAUGCAACCUCUCUGAAUCCAGAAAGUGAAUGUUUGGAGAAGUCACCAUGAAGGUGCCUCCAUAGACCACAAGCUACACCAGAAGAUCCAGAAUGAACUUUGGGAUGUGAUGAUUUGAACUGUGUGGGGUUUAAAUGCAUUUGUUUUGUAUGUAUACUCUUAUGCCAAAGGGGACUGCCCCCUAACUGGCUUUUUGUCAAUGCACCUAGCAAUUAUUGGUUUUGUUCUCUUUUCCCUUUAUUCUCAAAUUAUUGUAAUUUCAAAGUUGGUAUGUUUACGAGACCCAUCAGAGAGACUAAUCUUCCUUGGGCCUCAGGUGGGAUGUAAAAAUGGAGAUUUUGAACCCUAGACUUCAAUCCCCAGAAGUCCUUGGUAUUUCCCAGAAGUCCCUAUAAUCUCACCUGAGUCUCCAUGUUGGUGAGAUAAAAAUUUGUAUCUAACUGACAGUAACGCCUCCCACAGACUCUUCUCUUCUCUGCUAUUGCAAUGAUGUAGCAAGUAUAGUGGUAAGCUAAGCACGGGGAUUUUGAAUGGGCUAAUCAGCCAUGGGCAUGUGGUUUUAAUUUUGUAUCCUUGAUUUCUAAUAAUCCUUAAUAAACCUCAUAAAUAUAAUAUUUUUAUUACUAUAGAUACUAAUUUAAUUUUUACACUUCUUCCUAUUCAGGCUUGGACCUGAAUCAUCUACUUGAAAUACCUACACAAGAUAUAUCUACUGAUGGAGUAAUUAAUAAUCAUCCAACUGUAUGUUUUAUAUAUAUAUGUGUUGUGUAUAUGUAUAUAUACUGUAUAUAUUGACCACUGGACAAUAUAUGUUUUGCAUCCAUCUUAUUUUUAAUAGUUUGAAUGGUUAAGAUUAUUGUUUUUAUAUGACUGCAUCUCAUUGAAGAGUAUUUUUAGUGUUCCAAGAGUCAGUGUAAAUGGCAUCUGCAAAAAGAAGCUUUUAGAGAAUUACUCUUCUAUUUAGAUUUUUAGCCUCACUUGAUGUUGAUACACAUAGGAUCUCUGGACAAAUAAAUUUCUAUGGCUGUAUCUUCUAAAAUUUUAUAUGCAUGUGAGAAACAUUUUCAAGAGAGCUUUGAAAGUUGCCUAUUGCUCUGAGUCAAAUAUCUUCGUUUUUUAAAAAUAUGCAAAUGAUAGCACAGGAGUUCACAAUUUCAUUGUCAGCAAUGUCUGUAAACGUGGUAUCUUCUAGAAAUUUUCUGGGAAAGUCUGCCUAUGCCCCUAAGAGGAGCCCAGAAGACCAGGAAAUGGCAGCUGAGCUCCUAUCAUCCAGGCCUCAGAUCUCUCUAGGUAAGGCUUCUCAUGCCAACCUCAGGCUCCACCUUCAAGAGAGCCUCCUUUCAAGAAAUGUUUCCAGAGAAUUCUCCUCCUGACUCCUCCUGAGUUCUCCUUCCACUGCCUCCUUCAAGACCUCUCCAGGAGCUUUUCCUCCAGGACCUCUCUCCUCUCAGCCUCCUUCAGAGCAUCCACCUCCUCAGAGCCAAAACCUCCUCAGAGACCUCAGACCCCGCUAUCUUUAAGGACACCAUCUAAGUCCCCUCCCCUCAGUUCUCACAUCUACCAAUCAUUGUCCAUGUCUCCCCUGUGCCAAUGGUAGCUGUAGCUUAACCCAAUACCGCCCAGAGGUCUGCCCCCCUUUGCACAUGUCUGUUGAAGGUCAUAUUCUCAAAUAAUCAAAUCUUGAUCUAUGCUGCAGCCCUUCCUAAAUCCUGUUACUCUGAGAAGGGUGGAGAUUGUAAGUUCCAAGACCUGGUUCUGUCAUUCCAAGUAUCUCUAUUGUAUCAAUUCUAAAAUCAAUCAUGACUCAAAGAACUUCCUGUUCUAUGCUUAAGUAUAGGUCAAAGCCCUUUCCAUUGUUUAGCAAAAGGUUUCUGUCCUAAAGUAGUCUUAAGUAGGGAGGAGAAGGAUCCUCCCAUGCCAAAGAGUUUCACAUUCCAAUAGAAUUCUUACUAUCAGUAGGAAAUUUUUUCAAGUAUGAAAUUUCCUAAUGGGGAAAUUUCCAACAUUCAUAAGUCUAAGAAAUUUUAAGGUUUACAGGGGGGUACUAUUAUACUCCUAUAUCUCCCAAGUAUGUCCAGCUUGUCUCUCAGUUCCUUUAUGAGAAAGUGAGUUUCAUUCAUGGUCAACCCUCAUGCUCAACAUACAUGCAUAUCUACAUGCUUGUAUUACUUAGGUUUACAGAUUCCAGCUUUCAAACAUGAAUAAAAAGCACACAUUUUUUUUAAAACCCUGACCUUCCAUCUAAAGCUGGAUUUGAACCCACGUCUUCUUGACUCCAGAUCCAGUACUCUAUCUACCAGGCUGCAUAGCUGCCCCAUUGAAAAUAAAAGAUUUUGGUUCAAAUCCUGAUUCUGCCACUUUAUUUUUAUAUCACCUUGGACAAGAUACUUAAUCCUUUUGGUUUUAGUUUCUUCAUCUGUAAAAUGAGAGUGGUUGGACUAGUUUAUCUUUUUUUUUUUAAACCCUUAAACGCAAUACUGUGUAUUGGCUCCAAGGCAGAAGAGUGGUAAGGGCUAGGCAAUGGGGGUCAAGUGACUUGCCCAGGGUCACACAGCUAGGAAGUGGCUGAGGCCAGAUUUGAACCUAGGACCUCCUGUCUCUAGGCUUGGCUCUCAAUCCACUGAGCUACCCAGCUGCCCCCAAAAAGCACACAUUUGAUAUAGAGAGUAUUCACACAUAUGCAUAAUUUUCCAUAAGUUCCAUAAUAUCAUGUCCCCUACUGUAUAAAUGUAGAUUUUGAGCCUUUGGAUUUCAUCCCCCAGAAGUCCCUUAGUAUUUCCCCAAAUUCUCAUUUCCUUCAUCCCUGCAUUUUGCCUGAUUGCAUUUAAGUGGCUGUAAUUCCUCCCUUUUCCUCUCUCUUGGACCUGUGGCUGGGCUGAAGUC